rnacentral:rRNA from 1 species
AGCGUACACGGUGGAUGCCCUGGCAGUCAGAGGCGAUGAAGGGCGUGCUAAUCUGCGAUAAGCGCCGGUAAGGUGAUAUGAACCGUUAUAACCGGCGAUACCCGAAUGGGGAAACCCAGUGUGAUUCGUCACACUAUCAUUAACUGAAUCCAUAGGUUAAUGAGGCGAACCGGGGGAACUGAAACAUCUAAGUACCCCGAGGAAAAGAAAUCAACCGAGAUUCCCCCAGUAGCGGCGAGCGAACGGGGAGGAGCCCAGAGCCUGAAUCAGCAUGUGUGUUAGUGGAAGCGUCUGGAAAGGCGCGCGAUACAGGGUGACAGCCCCGUACACAAAAGCGCAUGUGCUGUGAGCUCGAUGAGUAGGGCGGGACACGUGGUAUCCUGUCUGAAUAUGGGGGGACCAUCCUCCAAGGCUAAAUACUCCUGACUGACCGAUAGUGAACCAGUACCGUGAGGGAAAGGCGAAAAGAACCCCGGCGAGGGGAGUGAAAAAGAACCUGAAACCGUGUACGUACAAGCAGUGGGAGCACAGGUUUACCUGUGUGACUGCGUACCUUUUGUAUAAUGGGUCAGCGACUUAUAUUCUGUAGCAAGGUUAACCGUAUAGGGGAGCCGUAGGGAAACCGAGUCUUAACCGGGCGUUAAGUUGCAGGGUAUAGACCCGAAACCCGGUGAUCUAGCCAUGGGCAGGUUGAAGGUUGGGUAACACUAACUGGAGGACCGAACCGACUAAUGUUGAAAAAUUAGCGGAUGACCUGUGGCUGGGGGUGAAAGGCCAAUCAAACCGGGAGAUAGCUGGUUCUCCCCGAAAGCUAUUUAGGUAGCGCCUCGUGAAUUCAUCUCCGGGGGUAGAGCACUGUUUCGGCUAGGGGGCCAUCCCGGCUUACCAACCCGAUGCAAACUGCGAAUACCGGAGAAUGUUAUCACGGGAGACACACGGCGGGUGCUAACGUCCGUCGUGAAGAGGGAAACAACCCAGACCGCCAGCUAAGGUCCCAAAGUCAUGGUUAAGUGGGAAACGAUGUGGGAAGGCCCAGACAGCCAGGAUGUUGGCUUAGAAGCAGCCAUCAUUUAAAGAAAGCGUAAUAGCUCACUGGUCGAGUCGGCCUGCGCGGAAGAUGUAACGGGGCUAAACCAUGCACCGAAGCUGCGGCAGCGACGCUGAUGCGUUGUUGGGUAGGGGAGCGUUCUGUAAGCCUGCGAAGGUGACCUGUGAGGGUUGCUGGAGGUAUCAGAAGUGCGAAUGCUGACAUAAGUAACGAUAAAGCGGGUGAAAAGCCCGCUCGCCGGAAGACCAAGGGUUCCUGUCCAACGUUAAUCGGGGCAGGGUGAGUCGACCCCUAAGGCGAGGCCGAAAGGCGUAGUCGAUGGGAAACGGGUUAAUAUUCCCGUACUUGGUGUUACUGCGAAGGGGGGACGGAGAAGGCUAUGUUGGCCGGGCGACGGUUGUCCCGGUUUAAGCGUGUAGGUGUGUGUUCCAGGUAAAUCCGGUUCACUUUAACACUGAGGCGUGAUGACGAGGCACUACGGUGCUGAAGCAACAAAUGCCCUGCUUCCAGGAAAAGCCUCUAAGCAUCAGGUAACAUCAAAUCGUACCCCAAACCGACACAGGUGGUCAGGUAGAGAAUACCAAGGCGCUUGAGAGAACUCGGGUGAAGGAACUAGGCAAAAUGGUGCCGUAACUUCGGGAGAAGGCACGCUGACACGUAGGUGAAGUGAUUUACUCACGGAGCUGAAGUCAGUCGAAGAUACCAGCUGGCUGCAACUGUUUAUUAAAAACACAGCACUGUGCAAACACGAAAGUGGACGUAUACGGUGUGACGCCUGCCCGGUGCCGGAAGGUUAAUUGAUGGGGUCAGCGCAAGCGAAGCUCCUGAUCGAAGCCCCGGUAAACGGCGGCCGUAACUAUAACGGUCCUAAGGUAGCGAAAUUCCUUGUCGGGUAAGUUCCGACCUGCACGAAUGGCGUAAUGAUGGCCAGGCUGUCUCCACCCGAGACUCAGUGAAAUUGAACUCGCUGUGAAGAUGCAGUGUACCCGCGGCAAGACGGAAAGACCCCGUGAACCUUUACUAUAGCUUGACACUGAACAUUGAGCCUUGAUGUGUAGGAUAGGUGGGAGGCUUUGAAGUGUGGACGCCAGUCUGCAUGGAGCCGACCUUGAAAUACCACCCUUUAAUGUUUGAUGUUCUAACGUGGACCCGUAAUCCGGGUUGCGGACAGUGUCUGGUGGGUAGUUUGACUGGGGCGGUCUCCUCCUAAAGAGUAACGGAGGAGCACGAAGGUUGGCUAAUCCUGGUCGGACAUCAGGAGGUUAGUGCAAUGGCAUAAGCCAGCUUGACUGCGAGCGUGACGGCGCGAGCAGGUGCGAAAGCAGGUCAUAGUGAUCCGGUGGUUCUGAAUGGAAGGGCCAUCGCUCAACGGAUAAAAGGUACUCCGGGGAUAACAGGCUGAUACCGCCCAAGAGUUCAUAUCGACGGCGGUGUUUGGCACCUCGAUGUCGGCUCAUCACAUCCUGGGGCUGAAGUAGGUCCCAAGGGUAUGGCUGUUCGCCAUUUAAAGUGGUACGCGAGCUGGGUUUAGAACGUCGUGAGACAGUUCGGUCCCUAUCUGCCGUGGGCGCUGGAGAACUGAGGGGGGCUGCUCCUAGUACGAGAGGACCGGAGUGGACGCAUCACUGGUGUUCGGGUUGUCAUGCCAAUGGCACUGCCCGGUAGCUAAAUGCGGAAGAGAUAAGUGCUGAAAGCAUCUAAGCACGAAACUUGCCCCGAGAUGAGUUCU